rnacentral:rRNA from 1 species
AUUGAACGCUGGCGGCAUGCCUUACACAUGCAAGUCGAACGGUAACGGGCCUUCGGGUGCCGACGAGUGGCGAACGGGUGAGUAAUGUAUCGGAACGUACCUUUCAGUGGGGGAUAACGUAGCGAAAGUUACGCUAAUACCGCAUAUUCUGUGAGCAGAAAAGCAGGGGAUCGCAAGACCUUGCGCUGAUUGAGCGGCCGAUAGCAGAUUAGCUAGUUGGUGAGGGAAAGGCUCACCAAGGCGACGAUCUGUAGCGGGUCUGAGAGGAUGAUCCGCCACACUGGAACUGAGACACGGUCCAGACUCCUACGGGAGGCAGCAGUGGGGAAUUUUGGACAAUGGGGGCAACCCUGAUCCAGCCAUGCCGCGUGAGUGAAGAAGGCCUUCGGGUUGUAAAGCUCUUUCGGCCGGGAAGAAAUCCUAUCAGCUAAUACCUGGUGCGGAUGACGGUACCGGCAUAAGAAGCACCGGCUAACUACGUGCCAGCCGCCGCUGUAAUAC